AUUGAACGCUGGCGGCAUGCCUUACACAUGCAAGUCGAACGGCAGCGCGGACUUCGGUCUGGCGGCGAGUGGCGAACGGGUGAGUAAUACAUCGGAACGUACCCUGUUGUGGGGGAUAACAAGUCGAAAGAUUAGCUAAUACCGCAUACGACCUGAGGGUGAAAGUGGGGGACCGCAAGGCCUACCGCACCGGGACCGCCCGAUGUCUGAUUAGCUAGUUGGUGGGGUAAAGGCCCACCAAGGCGACGAUCAGUAGCUAGUCUGAGAGGACGAUCAGCCACACUGGGACUGAGACACGGCCCAGACUCCUACGGGAGGCAGCAGUGGGGAAUUUUGGACAAUGGGGGCAACCCUGAUCCAGCAAUGCCGCGUGUGUGAAGAAGGCCUUCGGGUUGUAAAGCACUUUUGUCCGGAAAGAAAUCGCGCUGGUUAAUACCUGGCGUGGAUGACGGUACCGGAAGAAUAAGCACCGGCUAACUACGUG
rnacentral:rRNA from 1 species